AAAGUACUCCCUCCAUCCCAAAAUUCUUGUCUUAGAUUUGUCUAGAUACGGAUGUAUCAAGUCACAUUUUAGUAUUAGAUACAUCCGUAUCUAGACAAAUCUAAGACAAGAAAUUUGGGACAAAGGGAGUAGUUG
rfam:Triticum aestivum genome assembly, contig: Triticum_aestivum_CS42_TGACv1_scaffold_328786_4BS